rnacentral:rRNA from 1 species
UUUUGGUUUUGUAAUUGGAAUGAGUUAAGUAUAAACCCCUUUACAAGUAUCAAUUGGAGGGCAAGUCUGGUGCCAGCAGCCGCGGUAAUUCCAGCUCCAAUAGCGUAUAUUAAAGUUGUUGCAGUUAAAAAGCUCGUAGUUGGAUUUCUGUUAAUAAUUUAUAUAAAAUAUUUUGAUGAAUAUUUAUAUAAUAUUAACAUAAUUCAUAUUACUAUUUUUUUUUUUAGUAUAUGAAAUUUUACUU